rnacentral:rRNA from 1 species
UAAGAGGUCUUGACAUCUUUUGAUCACCUGAGAGAUCAGGUUUCCCCUUCGGGGGCAAAAUGACAGGUGGUGCAUGGUUGUCGUCAGCUCGUGUCGUGAGAUGUUGGGUUAAGUCCCGCAACGAGCGCAACCCUUAUGACUAGUUGCCAGCAUUUAGUUGGGCACUCUAGUAAGACUGCCGGUGACAAACCGGAGGAAGGUGGGGAUGACGUCAAAUCAUCAUGCCCCUUAUGACCUGGGCUACACACGUGCUACAAUGGAUGGUACAACGAGUUGCGAGACCGCGAGGUCAAGCUAAUCUCUUAAAGCCAUUCUCAGUUCGGACUGUAGGCUGCAACUCGCCUACACGAAGUCGGAAUCGCUAGUAAUCGCGGAUCAGCACGCCGCGGUGAAUACGUUCCCGGGUCUUGUACACACCGAAG